ACUUAGUGACUGCUACUGGGAGAACUU
rnacentral:piRNA from 1 species